AGUCUUUCCAAGUUGACAUGGCCUUCCUGGAGGAAUUACCACUUAGGGUAGAGGCACCCCUUCCCCCAUCAAUGCCACUGCCCCACAUUGGAGGAGGGGUUGUUUAUGUUCACCAUGUGCCUGCUUCCAAUGCCAAAUCCAGCCUCAGAAAGCUUUCUGGAAGUGACGCCAACUUCAGGGGCAAGGCCCUGGUUCUGGGGUCAGCACCAUUCCGUGGUUCCUGAAGAGAUGGUAGACUAUGGAACGUAGGCGUUAUGAUUUCUGACCUAUGUAACAUGGUCCACUAACUCUCAGUAUCCAUGAAGAAAUGGUUUACCGUCCCACAUACAUUUUGAAUAUGUAUGUGGGAUGGUAAACCGCUUCUUGGUACCUGAAAAGAUGGUUGACCAUAGAACAUGCGCUAUCUCUGUGUCGUAUGUAAUAUGGUCCACAUCUUCUCAAUAUCCCUGGUAUUUGAAGAUGCGGUUGACCAUGGUGUGUACGCUUUAUUUGUGACGUAGGACACAUGGUCUACUUCUUCUCAAUAUCACAUCUCGCCUUGGAAGACUUCCAGGAGGUGAUAUCAGCUUUGCGGAAGAGCCACUGUCCUGGUGUCAGUACGGCUGCUGCUUGGUACUUGGAGAGAGGUGGUCCGUGGCGCGUUCGCUUUAUUUAUGGCGCACAUUACACGGUCGACCUCUUUGCAGUAUCUAAUCCCGCCUUGCAAGCUUUCCUGGAGCUAACAUCAACUGCGGGGGUGGGGGCCACUAGGUCUGCGCUCAGUGUGACCCAGCGGGGUUUGUGAUGUGUUUGUCUUGUGUGUGACGAUAACUCACGUGUGGCAGCCUUCUUCUCAGCACACUGCUCUGGCUUGGCAGCAGGGUUAACUUGCGGACAAGGAGCGUGGUGUCAGCACGUGCCUGGAUACAUGAGAUGGUUGACCAGAGAGCACACGCUUUAUUUGUGCCGUUUGUGACCUGGUCCACUAACCCUCAGUAUCUAAUGCCCCAGCGGGGUUUGUGAUGUGUUUGUCUUGUGUGUGACGAUAACUCACGUGUGGCAGCCUUCUUCUCAGCACACUGCUCUGGCUUGGCAGCAGGGUUAACUUGCGGACAAGGAGCGUGGUGUCAGCACGUGCCUGGAUACAUGAGAUGGUUGACCAGAGAGCACACGCUUUAUUUGUGCCGUUUGUGACCUGGUCCACUAACCCUCAGUAUCUAAUGCGGUACCUGAAGAGAGGUUUUCUGGGUUUCUGUUUCUUUAAUGAGGACGAAACACACCUGGUUAACCUCUUUUCCAGUAUCUAAAAGGUGGAUAUUCCUUCUAUGUUUAUGUUAUUUAUGGUUAAACAUAGAGGAAAUUCCACGUUUUCCAGUCCUUCUUUGGUAUUUAAAACGUGGAUAUUCCUUCUAUGUUUACGUGAUUCCUGGUUAAUCAUAGAGGAAAAUCCAUGUUUUCAGUAUCAAAUGCUGUUUGGUAUUUAAAAGGUAGAUUCUCCUUCUAUGAGUACAUUAUUUAUGAUUAAUCAUAGAGGAAAAUCCACGUUUUCAGUAUCAAAUGGUACUUGAAGAGAAGUUGUUCGUGGUGGAUUCGCUUUACUUAUGACGAAUCAUUCACGGACAACACUUUUUUCAGUACCACAGGGUGUGUGACUGGUUGACCAGAGGGGCAUGCACUGUGUUCACCCUGUGGGCCACCUAGUCACCAACCCUCGGUAAGUGCGCCUCGGGUGAGCAUGCACUUAAUGUGGGUGUAUGUCACUCGGCUCGGCCCACUACCGGUAAGUGCGCCUCGGGUGAGCAUGCACUUAAUGUGGGUGUAUGUCACUCGGCUCGGCCCACUACCUGCAGGAAUGCUGCGAGCAGUGCCACCUCAUGGUACUCGGAGGGAGGUUGUCCGUGGUGAGUUCGCAUUAUUUAAUGAUGCUGUGGUACUUGAAGAUAGGUUAUCCGUGUUGCCUUCGCUUUAUUUGUGACGAAUCAUACACGGUUGACCUAUUUUUCAGUACCAAGUACUCGAAUGGAGGUUGUCCAUGGUGUGUUCAUUUUAUUUAUGAUGAGUAUUACAUGGCCAAUCUCCUUUCGGUACCCGUGCUGAUGUUUGACCCUUGAGCAGAGGUUGCCCUUGGUGAAUUCGCUUUAUUUAUGUUGAAUCACACAAAGGCAACUUUUGUUUGAGUAUCAAAUCCUGCUUGGGAUGGCUUCCGGGACCCAGUGGCAAGCUCAGGGGCAUCUACACCCCUCCCGUGAGCAAGAAUGGACGGGGUAGACGUGGGUGGUCUGCCCUCUGCGGUCCUCUGCGGUGGAUGAGAACAGAUGUCGCUCAGAGAACACAAGCUUCAUUCAUGAUGGGGGCAUCAAACCCUACCUGGAGAAUUUCCAGAAGCAACAGCACCCUCAGGAGGCGGCCUGCAGCCGGAGCCCUCUCCAGGGCAGGUGCCUGAGGGCCGCCCAUGGGACAGGCCCGAUUGUACCCACGGUGCAUGUCAUCUGUUCCACUCCUGCUGACUCCGGUGCGUUCCGGGACCACCUUGGGAGGUGAUGCCUGCCCCAGGAAGGAGGCUCUGAUGCAGUAUCAAAUCUCACCUUGGAGGACCCGUUGGAGAUGAAGCCCUUUUGAGGGACUGCUUCCCGGGGGCAGCGCUGGCACCACGGGACGCGGCAGCCACGUUCUUGAGCCGAUGGCACUCUGGGUACCUGAGAAGAGGUUGUCUGUGAUGAGUUCGCUUUUAUUAAUGACGAAUAUAACACAGAUGGCCUGUUUUCAGUACCGCUACCGCCCGGUGGUGUGCGGGCGCCACGCCUGAGGCGGGACUUUCCAGGGUGGCCAGGAUGAAAGUCUCCAUGGACCCUUCAACCAGAGGCUCUGUGACUUGUCCCGUCUUCAGUGCGGUGUGUAAACCCUGCCGCCGGUCCAAGUUCACGAGACACGUUGGCUGGUGCAGUCCUGGAGACCCACGGAGCUCACGGUCGUCAGGGGUCCUCAAGGAUUCAGAGAACCCCCAAAUGUCAGGGCUGCUCCCUUCUUGUCCUGCCUCUCUGCUCACACCCUUGGACAGGAGGAAGCACACGGGAGGCACUCAGAGAACGUUUGUGGAAUGAAUAAAUAAAAGCAUAUUUUGAGGGAAUAAAGAAGCAGAAAAACAAAGAAGAAUCUGGGGAAGAUGGGCAUAAAUCUCCACCAAGUGCUGCCAAGGCUUCCCAGGCGAGGCUGCUGAAAAGACCCUGUGGAGCGGCUGCUCUGCCUGGGAUAAACACAUUUCAAGAGUCUCAGUCCCCGCUUUGCCACCAUCUCCUCCUCUGAUCUCCUUUCCUGCUUCAAAAGACUCCAGAAUCUUCUCGGUUCUCAGAGAAGGCUGAAUCCACCUAUGACCUAGUGGGAGCACCCUGUGCCGAAACUGUUUACCUUCUGGUCCCCGGAGCCAUGGGUCACGACCUGGGCCUCAUGUAGGCCCGCUCCUCAGCAGACCCCAAUCUGCGGCUUCUCCCACCUCACUGGGGAAGAAGGAGAGCCCUGGGGAUGUGGAGAAGCCACCCCCCACCCCGCCACAUCCCCCACAUCUUACAGAAUCUCGAUUGAAUCCCCGGGGGCACAUCCCUCAGCAGGACAGCAACAGUCUUUGCCGCAGCCUGGGGAGGGCUGUGCUGGGGAUGAGCGCCGAGUGGCCGUGGACUAAGUGAAGGAAAUGACCAUGCUCUUCUCCCAGCUGGAUGGCGAGGCCGGGCAGGAACCGCGGAAUUCCUGCUCUUCGUUUUCAAACACUUUGCUGUCAAGCUAUUUGAAUAAUAAAUACACAUUAUAAAAAUGUAAA
rnacentral:lncRNA from 1 species